GCCUUAGUAGUAUAAAAAUUACAUUGGUCUUGUAAACCAAAAAUGAAGUAUUAUUCUUCCUAAGACA
rnacentral:tRNA from 1 species